rnacentral:rRNA from 1 species
AGAGUUUGAUCCUGGCUCAGAGUGAACGCUGGCGGCGUGCCUAACACAUGCAAGUCGAACGAGAACGGAUAUAAGUUUACUUAUAUUGUCAGCUAAGUGGCGCACGGGUGAGUAAUAUAUAGUUAACUUGCCUUCUAGAAGGGGAUAAUUGUUGGAAACGACUUGUAAAACCCUAUAUGCCUUUAUUACAUAAGUAAGCAAGGGAAAUAUUUAUAGCUAGAAGAUAGGACUGUACGGUAUCAGUUAGUUGGUGAGGUAAUGGCUCACCAAGACAAUGACACCUAUCUGGUUUGAGAGGAUGAUCAGUCACACUGGAACUGAGACACGGUCCAGACUCCUACGGGAGGCAGCAGUGGGGAAUAUUGCACAAUGGAGGGAACUCUGAUGCAGCAACGCCGCGUGGAGGAUGACACAUUUCGGUGCGUAAACUCCUUUUAUAUAAGAAGAUAAUGACGGUAUUAUAUGAAUAAGCACCGGCUAACUCCGUGCCAGCAGCCGCGGUAAUACGGGGGGUGCAAGCGUUACUCGGAAUCACUGGGCGUAAAGAGCAU